AAAAAAAUUCAUAACUUUACCAUGCUUACUCCGAUUUUAACGCAUAGCAUGUCUACGAACUCGUAACGACGUGCUCUACAACUUUCAUGAAGAAAGUUUUCUCACAAUAAUUUUCCUACAAAAAGUCAACCCUAUGGUCCUUAAGGGUAACUAGUUACUCAUCACGGUAAAAAUCCGAAGUAAUACCAACGGUAAAUAACCGUAAAAUAACUUAAGAACCGGGAUGUGUCAGAAUGAGAUUGAUAGAAUAAAUACAUUUUGUGUAGUUGAGUUUCCUCAUGGGUUGUUCAAGAUCCAGGCUAGCCCACACGUGCAUAAAUUCAGGGAAAGUAUGCCAUUUCGAUGGCGGAAAUCGACAAAACGAUCUUAUCGGGUUUCGGGUUUGGAGACCAUGAGUAUAACAAGAUGACUAACAAAAGAGGUACUGGUGGUGAGAUAUUACUGAUUGUUAGAUCAUAUAUUCGAGACAUUUGAGUCACCCCUGGUUGGUAAAAUACACGAUAUGGGACGUGUAGACUCACCUGUCUUUGAUGUAUGGACUGAUAGCCAGUAAUUAAGGAAGACAUUCAUUAGCAUUUAUGCAUCGAUCAUUGUUGUUAUUUACGUAAAGUUUGUUUGAUAUUUGUUAACUUGUUUGUGUGACGUAGUUAAGUAACCUAAAAAGGUUAGGCCCUAAGUUUCCUUGAGCAUUUUGAUGCAAGCAUGGCUCAAGGAAGGUUUUGGAGAGCACGUGAGCAUUCUAGAAGCAUCAGGAAUAUUAUGGAAGGUCUUGGAAGCAUCCGGAAUAUUAUGAAAGGUCUUGGAAGCUUCCGGAAGGAUCGGGAAGCAUUCGGACAACUCUAGAACUCUCUAGAACCUUAGAGAGUCUCUAAGACACUCCGGAACUCUCUAGAACCUUAGAGAGGCUUAAGGGUCAAGACUACUCCGGAAGUCUCUAAAAUACUCAAGGUAACACUUAAAGUUGUAUAGAAAACUCUAAAACUCUAGAAAUCUCUAUACUUGUAUAUGUCUUAGAAUUAUCUAGAAACUUAGGCAAGGGGGGAGGAUGCCUAUAAAUAGGGAAACACCCUUCUCAUUUGAGGCAUAAAGAGUUGGAUAGCAUUCAAGCUCACUUGUAAAGCUUUGUAAAGUUCUCUUAAGCUUAAUACAAGUUUUCUCUUUCAAAGAUCUUCUCCCUUCGUUCGGGUGUUCUAGCCAAAGUGUUUGCGUGAGUAAGGCUGUUUUAGCAUAAGAGAAGUGUUAAGGCCACACGAGAAGCUUAGGAAAAAGGAAGCUCGUGAUAGUAAGCUCACCCCUAUAGAUUCUUGUUCAGGUGUCUACGAGGACACGUAUUUCUAGAAGGCUAACAGUGACGCGUGGCUGACGUAUGCGAGAGUAGAAAGGGGUUACGGAAGAUUAGAAGUGAAAUAGAUCCGCAAGUCCCUAUUUUGUUUUUGUAAUUGAUUUUGUUAUUUGUAAACGUUUUAUUUUAUUUUAUUUCGAGAAAAGUAUUUGAAAUUAUUAUAUUUUCUUUUACUUUUCCCGCUCACGCCUCAGGUUCGGCGUCAAGUGCUUGAAAACCACCGACACCGGGUCCGGGGUGUGAUAGUUACUGGGGUCAGUAACUGAUUACUGGAUGUUAAUAACUGGUCAGUAAUUGAUUACUGGGAGUCAGUAACUGGUUAUUGAGUGUCAUUGGGGGUCAGUAACUAGUUAUAAGGGAAAUUCCGAUGACCGAAGUCCGACGGCUGGUGACCGGAGUCCGGUGAGAUUCCGGCCAAGUAUUCUCUUUUUUAUUUUUUUUCUCUCUCUCUCUAUGCAUGUUUAAGUGAUGAGGACAAAAUAGUCUUAAAAUAAUAUGGUUUGUUAAUACUUUAGUAAAGAUUUAUGUAUUUAGACAUAAAGAUUUGUGCAUUUAGGUAUAAAAAAGUUACCUUAUAUUAAAAUGGGUUAAUGAAAAAAAUUAUCAGUGGAAUGAAAAAUAAGAGAUUUAAAAGUAGUACUAAAUGGACAUUUUGCAUAGAAAUAAUUCUGGCUGUGUUGUUCAUAUUCUCGAAAUUGAUAAGCUCAAUCACCAAAAAGAAUGCAUGAAAGAACAAUAACAAUCACCAAAAAG
rnacentral:lncRNA from 1 species